rnacentral:rRNA from 1 species
UACAGAGGUCCCAAGCGUUGUUCGGAUUCACUGGGCGUAAAGGGUUUGUAGGUGGCUUGCUAAGUCAGACGUGAAAUCCCUCGGCUUAACCGGGGAACUGCGUCUGAUACUGGAUGGCUUGAGAUUGGGAGAGGGAUGCGGAAUUCCAGGUGUAGCGGUGAAAUGCGUAGAUAUCUGGAGGAACACCGGUGGCGAAGGCGGCUCACUGGCCCGAUACUGACGCUGAGGCACGAAAGCGUGGGGAGCAAACAGG